rnacentral:rRNA from 1 species
CUAGCGGCAGGCCUAACACAUGCAAGUCGAGCGAGAAAGCACUCCGGUGUGAGUAGAGCGGCGGACGGGGGAGUAACGCGUAGGAAUUUGCCCAGUAGCGCGGGACAACAAGUGGAAACGCAUGCUAAUACCACAUACGCCCUAUGGGGGAAAGCAGGGGAUCUUCGGACCUUGCGCUAUUCGUCGGAUUAGCUAGUUUGUUGGGUAAAGGCCCACCAAGGCGACGAUCCGUAGCUGGUCUGAGAGGAUGAUCAGCCACACUGGGACUGAGACACGGCCCAGACUCCUACGGGAGGCAGCAGUGGGGAAUAUUGGACAAUGGGCGAAAGCCUGAUCCAGCCAUGCCGCGUGUGUGAAGAAGGCCUUAGGGUUGUAAAGCACUUCAGUAGGGAGGAAAAGUUAGUCGUUAAUAGCGUCAGCCGCUGACUUAGCAGCAGUAGAAGCACCGGCAAACUCCGUGCCAGCAGCCGCGGUAAUACGGAGGGUGCGAGCGUUAAUCGGAAUUACUGGGCGUAAAGCGUUCGUAGGCGGUUUGUUAAGCAAGAUGUGAAAGCCCAGGGCUCAACCUUGGAACUGCAUUUUGAACUGGCAGGCUAGAGUACUGUAGAGGGUGGUGGAAUUUCCAGUGUAGCGGUGAAAUGCGUAGAGAUUGGAAGGAACAUCAGUGGCGAAGGCGGCCACCUGGACAGAUACUGACGCUGAGGAACGAAAGCGUGGGGAGCAAACAGGAUUAGAUACCCUGGUAGUCCACGCCGUAAACGAUGUCAACUAGCUGUCUGUGGACUUGAUCCGUGGGUAGCGGAGCUAACGCGCUAAGUUGACCGCCUGGGGAGUACGGCCGCAAGGUUAAAACUCAAAUGAAUUGACGGGGGCCCGCACAAGCGGUGGAGCAUGUGGUUUAAUUCGAUGCAACGCGAAGAACCUUACCAUCCCUUGACAUCCAGAGAAGCCAGUAGAGAUACACGUGUGCCUUCGGGAACUGUGUGACAGGUGCUCAUGGCUGUCGUCAGCUCGUGUGGUGAGAUGUUCGGUUAAGUCCGGCAACGAGCGCAAACCACAUCUUUAGUUGCCAGCAGGUUAAGCGCACUCUAGGGAAACUGCCCGUGAUAAGCGGGAGGAAGGUGUGGAUGACGUCAAGUCCUCAUGCCCCUUACGGGUUGGGCUACACACGUGCUACAAUGCAGUGACAAAUGGAUAAUCCCAAAAAACUGUCUCAGUUCGGAUUGGGGUCUGCAACUCGACCCCAUGAAGUCGGAAUCGCUAGUAAUCGCGUAACAGCAUGACGCGGUGAAUACGUUCCCGGGCCUUGUACACACCGCCCGUCACACCAUGGGAGUUGGUUCUACCCGACGACGCUGCGCUAACCCUUCGGGGGCAGGCGGCCACGGUAGGAUCAGCGACUGGGGUG